CCUAAUUUUGAGAGGCUAUUUUGGGGAAAAAUUGGAUACACUCAUAUCAAAAGAAAAAGAGGAAGAACGACAAACACAGAAGACCAUGCCGGAGUUAUGGAUUCGACUUCCCCACUUGCCUACCCCUUUUUAAACUACAACAUAGUUACCUUUUAUGCUUAAACCCCUAUACAUAAGCAUCCUCUCUUCUAGCCAUGUGAAACUAUAACAUCACAGGAUAACAAUCGACCGGAUAUACCAACUACUUACAAUUACCUGUUACCACCAUACACUGCCUCCUAAAUGUAAUCUUCAACACCAUAGAGGUUCGACAUAAAUACCUUCUGUUCUAUUCGCCACCCUCCAGAUUUUGUUGCAGGUGUAAUCAGCACCAUCAUACAACAAUGGCAUUCCAUUGCUCUGUUAUUGGACCUAUGUGACAUGGAUCUGUCAGGAUUUCAACAGCUUCAAAUUGAUUUCAAGAUGAAGAAUAUAGACAUGCAAGUCAAUCUUUAUUCAUCAGUUUAAAAAAUACUUCAAUUAUCAUCUUCAUUUAAAAAUCUGUUUAUCCCUGUUUUGGCCUAUUAUUGACCUUUCUUCCAAUAUUUGCAAUUUGGGUGAUUCCGGACCUGUCUUUCAAUAUAUGGAGCAUUUAUCUUCUGUACAAGAAACUAUGUAAUUUGUUCUAUCAAAUCUAUUUAUUCCUUUUUCUUGUA